rnacentral:rRNA from 1 species
UACGGAGGGUGCAAGCGUUAUCCGGAAUCACUGGGCGUAAAGGGUGCGUAGGCGGCGCUUUAAGUCAGGGGUGAAAUCCUGGAGCUCAACUCCAGAACUGCCUUUGAUACUGAGGAUCUUGAGUUCGGGAGAGGUGAGUGGAACUGCGAGUGUAGAGGUGAAAUUCGUAGAUAUUCGCAAGAACACCAGUGGCGAAGGCGGCUCACUGGCCCGAUACUGACGCUGAGGCACGAAAGCGUGGGGAGCAAACAGG